GACGAACGCUGGCGGCGUGCCUAAUACAUGCAAGUUGAGCGAUGAAGAUUGGUGCUUGCACCAAUUUGAAGAGCAGCGAACGGGUGAGUAACGCGUGGGGAAUCUGCCUUUGAGCGGGGGACAACAUUUGGAAACGAAUGCUAAUACCGCAUAACAACUUUAAACAUAAGUUUUAAGUUUGAAAGAUGCAAUUGCAUCACUCAAAGAUGAUCCCGCGUUGUAUUAGCUAGUUGGUGAGGUAAAGGCUCACCAAGGCGAUGAUACAUAGCCGACCUGAGAGGGUGAUCGGCCACAUUGGGACUGAGACACGGCCCAAACUCCUACGGGAGGCAGCAGUAGGGAAUCUUCGGCAAUGGACGAAAGUCUGACCGAGCAACGCCGCGUGAGUGAAGAAGGUUUUCGGAUCGUAAAACUCUGUUGGUAGAGAAGAACGUUGGUGAGAGCGGAAAGCUCAUCAAGUGACGGUAACUACCCAGAAAGGGACGGCUAACUACGUG
rnacentral:rRNA from 1 species